AAAAGACGGGUAGGUGAGGUACUCAAGGACAUGCUUUAGUGGCAGAGAGGAAUGGUUGGACUUGAUGAUCCAAGAGGUCUUUCCCAACCUACUGAUUUGAUGAUUCUGUGAUUCUGUGUCCUCUUCAUUCUAGAUAAUUUUUGUGCCACAUCCACAAGUUUACAGAAUGCUAGGAAUAUCUUAAGUACACUGUUUUUAGUCAGGAAGGUACCAGACAUCAGGGAUGUGUGGUUGAGUUGCUUCCUGCCAUAUGCUACAGGCUUUUGCCCACUUACUUUUUAGAUUAUCUCUGGCCUCAUGUAGAAUAUGAGCUGUCUUUUAUUUUUAGUUACAACUUUAGAGGAAUAGGCAGAUAGACCAGACAAACAGGGCAUCUAAUCCAAUACCCUGUUUCAAAGACUGGCAGGCAUGAGCUGCUAAUGAGAACAAGAGUAAGAACUUGGGAAAAAAUAGUGGAAGAUAACCUAUUUCUUACGUGUGCAGUACCAGUCUCUGUUUAUGUUUGGUUUGCUUUCUGAAGUGGCUUAAUAUCCCCCCUAAAAAUAUUGUUCCUAACUCUGAGAAUGUUGUGUAUUUUGUACGUAGCAGAAUAACACUGGCUGGGCACUACAGAGAUUGUUUAGCUUUUCCACUUUCCUUAAGACAAAACCAGAUACACUUAAAUAGUCCCUGACAGCUAUUUAGCUAACCUGCAGAUUAAAUUUAUUAAUAUAUGUCCCUAUUCACAGCUGAUGCUCUUUUUUAGCAAUGCUGGGUGCUUGUAGUGUUGCUGUUCCUUCCAUUGGUGUUCUCUACACUUAGUAGACCCAGUCCUUUCCAUCUCUUUAGUUUUUAGUCUUUGAACUGUUGUUCAUGUAUCAAGACAACUGAUAUCUGGGGAAUGUCUCAGUUUUUCAUUGUGAGAGAAUGUACUUCAGCAUUACAAUUUGUCACUUAUGCUCCCUCUCCACAUUAUGGUUGGCAUGUUUAUGUUGAUAUAGGAUUACAGUUUGAGAAUUGUGUAUAAUUGGUAGAGUCUCAGUUUAUACAGACAUUCCUGGUUCACAAAAAAAAUCUGUUUUGUCAGCAACAGGUUAAGUGAAAGCAGGCUCCAACCAGAGGGACAGCAGAAAUGUUUGUUUGGUUUCUUACCCUUGUUUUAGCUUAUCUUAUGUGUCCUGUAAGAUCAAGAGAGUUUUGCUCCUAAACAGACGUUCCAGGAGUACUCUCAACUUUCUCCCCUCCCCCCAGCCAACAGAAAGCCUCUUGUAACAUUCUCAUUCAGAAAUCUGAUAGCGUGAAGCAAUUCCUGGUUUGUUGCCAGAACUUGUAGCACAACACCCCCCUUUCAAAACCGAUCUCAGUCCUCCCUUACAUAUGGCAUGUAUUGUAACUCUUCAAAUAAGCAAGGGCUCUUGAAUUUUACAGGCUAUUUACAGACUCAGUGUAAAACUUAUUUCCAGGAAACUGAAGUUGUGCAGAAGAACAAAAUGAUUUGUCUGCAGUUGUACUUAUUUUUUCUGUAUUUGCACAAACUAUUAGUCUAGUAACAAUUUGGUUGCUGAAUUCUGAAUUGUGUGAACUCUUCUAAGAUGAUUGGCUUACCCAGAGAUUUUUUUGUAGACUUGGAAAUUGAUGAUACAUGCUUCCCUGUGUGCCUUAUCUCCCCUUCAGAGCAUUUUGCAGAUUUUGUAGACGCAUGGAAAGAUACCUCUAAAGUAAAAAGAAACAGCCUUCUGAACAGUCUAAGUCCCAUUUCUCUAUGAUAUCAGUUAGUGGGCACAAAUCAGUCUUGUCUUUUCCAGCAGUCUUAAUAACAACCAUAAUAUGGAUGGUAGGGUAGCCACUGUCCUUGUGGAUGACUGGAAGGCAGUUGUAACAGCCCCUGUUGAUCACUAUUUUCUCCAUUAAUUCUUGAAUUUCACAGUCGGGGCUGCUGUUUGCUUUGCCUUACACUACUCUAAGGAAAUAAUUCGACAUCCGUGUUGCAAAGAGAAAUAAGUGGAAUUAAAUAUGGUUAGAUAUAAUUUUCUCAGAUGAUCACCAUCUACUCCAAAUGUGGUUUAUAUUAAUAUUUCCGUUCUUUAAGAUAAGGAUUGAACAUUUUGGGCAAUUAUGCUGUAUCACUCAGUGGUCUGAGUUUUGUUUUUAUUCUUAUGAAACCUAGGGUUUUAAUCUGAGAGGAGGAUCAUUAAUGUUGCAGUGAUUUCUAGUUCUGUGUCAGCAUCUUCUCUAGUAAUAAGUGCUUCGUUUUGAAUCUUGUUAGUGAAGGUGAAACUCUAAACUGUGGUCACAAACAUGAGGCCAAAACCUCUGCAGGUGUAAACAACAUGGCCCAUGGGAGCUGUAAAUUCUUACAUUAUGGCACAGGGUCUUACAGCCUGGACGAUAAAAUAAAUUGUCUGGGCCGUGGCCUCCUAAAAUAUACAAGACAUUUUCUGGUGCUAGCAAGUGAAAACAAGUUAAUGGCAGGAUGACUGCCAUUUGAUAGAUUCAGGGCAUUUGGGAUCCCAGGUAAAGGAAACAAUUAACUGCUUCAGGCAUGUUGUGAAGUGCCUUUUCUGCACAUGGACGAUUUCCUGGAAGACUUUUUAGUUUGGUUUACUGCAUUAUAUUCACUAGUGAUACCCGUUAUAGUGCUGUAUUCUGUACUGCAUAUGCAGUAUAGUACUGACAUGCAGGUAAUACAAAUACCAGUAAUUUUAAGUUUCAGAUACCUAGAGAAAUUCAAAAUUCUGGCCACAUUUAUAAAUGUUCUGCAGACCAGCAUUUUAAUCUGCACAUUGAAUUAACCAUUAUGUGAAAUAAGUUAGUCUGUUGAAUUUACUAGCUAUAUGAGUCAAGAAUAAAGGGAAGCUAAUUGUCAGGAAUUGGAAGGUCUAUCAGAUCAAAUAGUUGUCUGAUAAUUUACGCUGGAAUUUGUGUUCCAACAUAGUGCUCAGAUCAGGGCUAUAUAGAACGUUUCCAAGCUUCCAUGAUCCACAGCUAGGAUAUAAGUAGGUGGACCAUGCCUUCAUAUCCUCUGGUUUUUUGAGUUCAGAAACAAGGGGCUAGCCAGGGAGUAGGCAGAUGGGCAGUAACACUUGAAAAAUGUUCAGUGAUGGGCAAAGGUUUCUGGGUAGCUGCUUGACUAUGGGAGCAGACAUAUUUUUACAGAAUCACAGAAUAAUCUAGAUUGCAAAAGACCUUUAAGAUCAUUGAGUCCCACUGUAAACAUAACACUGCCAAGUUCACUACUAUACCAUGUCCUGGAGUGCCACAUCUACAUGGCUUUUAAAUAACUCCAGGGAUGGUGACUCAGCUUCCCUGGGCAGCCUGUUCCGAUGCUUGACAAACCUUUUAGUGAAGAAAUCUUUUUCCAAUACCCUGUCUGAACAUCCCCUGGAUCAUUUCAGCAGUUUUUUAACAUGUGAUGAAGUCUAGAGUCAAUGCAAAAUCUGCUGAGUCUGUGUGCCACAGAAAGAAAAAAAUAUUUCGUAGAAUCAUAGAAUGGCUUUGAAGGACCUUAAAGAUUGCCUGCUUCCACCUCCCACUGCCAUGGGCAGGAACACCUCCCAGUAGAUCAGGUUGCUCAAAGCCUCAUCCAGCCUGGCCUUGAACACUUCCAGGGAAAGAUUGUCCAUGACAUAUUGCUGAAGUGUUAUCUAGGUAGCAUGAAGCAUCCCCUAGAUACAUCAAGGCUGUGAAAAGAUUCCUCAGUCCUGUAUACAUGUAGUGUUGGACAUGGGUUGCUAUCAGAACAGGGAUUUGGGGGAAAGGUUUUCAAAGUUGUGCAGAAGUUGAACAACUUGUAUCACUGUCCUGAACUUGAACUUAUGAAUAUAGGUGUUUAGUGUCCUUACACUCAAGAUGGAUCUCCAUCUUCUGAUAUUCUUUAACAGUAAGAAGAGUCACUUUUUUUUUUACCCAAGAGUGGAGAGAACAAAUACGUUGGCCUGGACGUCCAGAACAGUAGCAGACUUUGGUGUUGAAGCAGUAGUCUUGUAGGCUAUGAAGUUAUGCUGAAGUUCCCCCAUAGAGAAGGGAGGAGACAGGGUGGAAGGCAGCAGCAAGGCAAAAAUGUAACUGUUGGGAAUGAUUUAGUGGGGGUAACAGUAUUUCCGAGCUUUAUAACUAACUGAAGGAGCUGCUCAGUGGCAGUGAAAAGCAGGCUUGGAAAUUCAUUAUUUCCCUUUGAGGGAGGCUGGAGGAUGUGGCUUUUUCCCUAGAGUGAAUUGAUGUUUGUGAUCAUUGUAACAAAGGGAUAUAAGUUCACUGAGCCAAGCAGCCUCUAUAGGAACAACCUAAUGCAUAUAACUUAGGCAAAAGCAAGUCCACUCGAUGCUUAAUGGCACUUGCUGUACCAAACUAGGAAUGAUGCAUAUAGCAACAGAACUAUCCUCAUUUUUUAGCAUCACUAUGCCCAGUAGAUUGCUAAAAUUUGAGACUUGGGGCAAGGUCUUGCAUUUAAAAUUCAAACAGCAUCCCUAGAGCUAUAACUGGGCUUCAGCAGUUCAGAAAAAUCUUGUGAUCAGAGGAGGAAGUUAGAAAUGGGGAUAGUUGACUCCUCCACAUGUGAUAAGCUUGACAGAGAAGCUUUGGGUUGAUGAAGAGGACUUGACUAAUACUUUUGUUAUGAUUCACAGGAAGAGGAAUGGCAAUGCCAUGAAGCUGCAGCAAGGCAUAUGGAAUAGAAAGAAGAUUAUUGCCUACUGAAAAAUGAUGGCACAUCUGACAAGAGUGUUGUGGAACCUAAGAAUCUGCUUGUUUUUCUGGGGAGGAAGGUAUACAGUAUGAGUUUGACAACUGCUGGAGCUAAAAAUGCUUUGGAGUGAUUCUGCAUAUGCAGCUGAAAGUGUACAUGUGUCUUUGAAGAAGUGGUUAAGGCAAAGCACUCAGUGAAGGAGAAGACCCAAAUAGGACUAGAAAGCGAUUAAAAAGAAGAGGAAGAAGUCCUCAGAAUGAGUGGGAUUGCCUUUCCUACUUGACCACAAAGACUUUAAUGAGCACUAUGACCAACAACAAAUAUGUCAGAAAAUGUCAGUCAGUCCUUCCUUGCCUAUGUCAUCUGAUGGUUCAACAAAAUAAAGUCAUAUAUGAAGAACAUAAGCCUUUAUGCAGGCUGGCAGAAGUGAUACUAGUAAAAGAAGAAAGCAUUCUGAAAACUCAGGGCCGUGGUUCAGUCUUCUUUGUUAUAGGAUGUAUCUUGCAAUUGUGUUAUAGAUGCAAUUGUGGAUUCCUGUCUGAUGUUGACCUCUUAAAAAUUGUGUGUGAGUGACGCUUUCUCUCCUUUCCAGUGAGCAAGGGAAUAGUCCUAGUCAGACAAAUUGUGUCUGGCCAUGGUUAUUCAGAUCUUCCUUCUGUUUUAGACAGGCUUUAACAAUGUUCCAGUUUAGAGCACAUGGAAUGCUUCCUCAGGUUGUAUGAGUAUUGGCUUAUAAGGCACAGAAUUUCAAACGGAGGUGUGUCAGCUGCAGAGGGUAGCAGGGACAGCACGGAAGGUGCUGGCCUCCAGGCUUGAUGGUGUGGUUGGUCAAUCACACAGUGGAACUCUCCACACUAGGGCUAAAACUGGUCUGCAUGAGGGCUGGUCUUAAGUAGUGGGAUGACUCUAAACCUGAAGACCUACUGCUGACCUCUUCAUCCUUCCUCUAAGUGCAAAGUGUUCUUAAUUUACAUAGAGCAAGCAGGAUCAUAGAACAACACAAAAUAAAAAAAAAAUUGCUGUAACAGUGAGGUACUGGCUAGCACAUUGCUGUGCACAUGGAGAAGCUGUAAUAACAAGCAACAACUUUGUGCUAUACGUUACUGUGUUUCAUAACUGCUAGUCAUGCUAAUACUGGAAAGUACUUAGCAGGGUGAUUGUGGCAUGAGAACCUGUAGAAAAUAUUUCAGCUUGACUUUGUUUAACAACCAUAAAUUUUCUUCCUCUGAAUUCACGUUAGGGUGACACCCAGCUACUGAAAACCUGUUCUGUUGUAGCAUGCUGUGUAUGAAAGAAUAUGUUGUUAUUGUUGGAAACAUGGGCUUUCUGGUACUACAGCUUGCGACUUCUCAGUAUAGGAUGGUAGACAUUGAUUGAAGAAACAGUGCACAUGGAGCUUAAACAGAGGAAAUCUGCUACAGCACACAAAUUUCCUGUACUGGACUACAAGCUCAUUGUCUUGCUGGUGCAUAAAUGUGGAAAAACGUUGACCAUCUCCCAGAAUUACGGAUCCUAAAAGAUUAAAGGAAAUGACAGACUAAUGUUAGAGGUUCUGUUUCUUGUGAAGAAUUUGCACAGUAAGAAGCACAGUGAGAUUUAAAUCUUCACUGGAAUGUCCGGGUACUACUUUGAUAUCAUGCAGCAGAAAGGAACUGGUCAUUUGAGAUAACUGGUUUGUUUUCCUAGAAUUUCAACAUUUAUCUGACACUCCUUUACCAUUAAAAACAACACAAAAAAUACUCAACCACCCCACAUCACCAGGUGUUCAUGUUCAAUGUUUUCUUACUCACUGCACAGACAAGACUACACAUUCUAGGACACUUGCCCAGGAAGAUUGGGUAGUCACUUUAAAAAUGAUAGACUGACAAUUUUAGUCCAAAAAUAUAACAAAUACAUGUCAUCAUUCAGAGGCAGUACACCAUACCUUGAUGUACUAGAACUAAUUAGAGCUAUUUGAUGUUGUGACAUGGCUGUUUGAGUGUUCAUAUAAUAUGAGGUGUUACCGUUUCCAAUAAUGCAUCAUAUUACUGUGCAUUGAUGGCAUUGAGGAGUUAACACUGUUGAUCCUAUUCAACAGCUGGAGGGUCAGUGCUGACUGCUUCCAGGGAUCUCCCAUAACAGAUGAAAGGAGUGGUCCCUAGCAGAAUUCAGACUCUUGAAGAAAUCCAGAUGACUGCCAAAUCAAAAAUGUCACUAGGUGAAAAACAUAAAAAAUGUUUUUCUCUCUAAAAAUUCUCUCAAGCUGCAUACAUUUAAAAAUAGCUUAAGAGUUGGUUUCUCAGACUAACUGUAGGAUUGUUAUUGUUGAUAGAUGUGCCUCAAAGGAAGUAGUUCACACCUGUGGCAGCGUUUCUUUGAAGAUCUCUUUAUUUAGAGAACAUUUUGACACAGAUCUCUGUUAUCGCUCAGCUUCGGGCAGUGGAGGAAUUAAAAUUAUUCUUGUACAGUGUUUGGAACAGAACAAUCAACUUGGCUGUCCAUGUGAUAUUGUUAUGUAGUUAAAUAAUACAAUGUGGUUAUGCAUAGCAACUGACAGGAAAAAAAAAAUCCUGUUGUGUGGAAUGCAGAAUUUGUCAUGCUCUUGCAGGUUAUAAACUUGCAGAAAUGCACAGUAAUGUGAGAAUUAGAUUGAUGUUUUGACAGAGUUGAGAAGAUGGGCCAGGAGAUUAGUAAAGCUUCUACUCAUGUAAUGGCAUAUUCAAAGAAAACCAUAAACAGAGGAAGGUUAGUGCAGAGAGGUAAGUCUAUAAACUUUAUUCACAUUUUAGAUCAGGAUAAUAUAAGUUAUCACUUGAAACAAUUCGUACCUACUAGUUUGAACUGGCCUGACUGUUGAACUUAGACCAACAUUCGGGUUCAUAAACUAGAAUUAUGGAGUUUACAAUGUUAAACAAAGGAGUUAUGGUACUGUGGAUUUUAUUUUCAUGGCUGCAUGUAUGUUAGAGGCACAGUAACAGAAGAAACUUUUCAGAGUAGACUGCUGGCUGAAACAGAGUGUGUCAGUAAGGACUGAACUCAUGCUAUUGAUUUCCAGGGGCCUCCAUGGUUUAAGUUGAUGAUUUUGGUUCAGCUCACAGAAGACGGUUGUAAGCACUGUUAGCCCUCACCUUUUAAAUCUUAAAGGCAAGUCAAAGAAAAUAACGAAUAAACUUAUGAUUUAGAUUUUACUGCGAGAAUUUUCAAUUUGUUACAAAUGGAGAACAUGACAACCUCCUCCAGCCCUGCCUCCUCAGCACUGUCCUGUGGUUAACCUGUAAAUACAGCUUUGCAUUCCCAAGUGCUGGUCAUCCACCGUCUUUUUUUGGGUGAAAACUAUAUGCUGAGGUACUUACAAGCAAUGUUGGCCAAGAAAGGUUGUGCUGACCUCAUGUAUUGUAUUUGAUGUCCUUCCAUGGGCAGUACUAGAGGGUAGCAACACUUUGAUUUGGAUCAGAUAAAGGAUGUGGAACAAAACUGUUCCCUGUGAGAAGAGCCUCUCCUGUGUGGCAACAGUCAUUGUUCAGUGACUAUUGCAGAAAACCUGAUGUAGGUAUUAUACGACAAGUUCAGUUAGAAUUCACAAAACCCAUCAGGAGAGCAGCUGGAAUGUGCUUUUUAUGUAUUAGCUUGUUUAAUCUCUUUUCUGUUGUUUGGGAUGGCAGAGUGGUACUGUGACUCCAAAAUCUCUGCCCGUUCUCUUCCAUCCUCUAAGGAGAUUGAGAAGACAAGGAGACUCAAGAAGACAAAGGAAGAGCUAAUCUCAGCUGGCAGACAAUUUGCCCAAUACUUCGCUAUGCCUUUUCUAGCCUGGAUAGUAAUCACACAAAGUAACUGCCAUGAAGAAGGCUGUCACUUAAUUUUCCUGAAGAUAAAGGCUCUUUCUCAGUCCUUUACUACUGCUCUGGGGCUGUGGUUCUUGGCCAAGAUCCCCAGCGUCUUGUGUGAACUCUUCUAGCCAUGGGUAAUGUUCUUCAGACUGUCAGUAAUAGCACUGUGACUACUACACAUGCCCCAAUGGGAGCUCUGCAGCUGAGCUGGCCAGGAUGGCUUUCAGCCAAGAAUAAGCAUAGUCCAUUGGUCAGGAUCUGCUUUCACACCCUGACUCUCUGCACUGUGCCCUGAGGACAGUCAUUUAUAAUCUUUACUUUUUGGUCCCUAGUUUUCUUCCUGCAUUUCUUCAACUGAUUGUUAUAAACACUCACAAGCAAGUUCCCGUAAAGAGGGAAAACAGAAGCCACAUUUUGGAGGGUUAAUGCCCGAGGGUUAAGCACUGAAGAUAAACCUCCAACCCCAGUUCUCAGAAGCCACUAGUGGAAAUGUAGUGUCUAAUCUUUCUGCCUAAGUUUCUUCAUAUGUCACGUUUGGAUAAUAUUAUUUACUAGCAUACUGGGAAGGUUUCAGUGAUGGAGGGAAUGUUUCAGUGAUGGAGUGAUUAUUUAUUGCGAAGCACUAUAUUUGAUUAGAACUUAUAAAAAUAUCUUCCAGUUAGUUACAAGAUCUCUGUGGAUUUUAGUACCCAGGUGCCAUCCUCACAUAAAAACUGAGAGGAGAAUAAAACAUCUGUGAAAGCAGACUAUCUUCCUGUUUACCACCUUACCCGAGAACACUGCGAAACUGGUACUUGCUUUUUUUCCAUUUAGGUACAGAGCUUACCGUGGUUCCUGCCACAACCUUACAGUCUGCUUUUGACACUUGUCUGACGUGUGCUAAUCUUACAUAAGCAAAAAUAACAUUGAAAACUCAUGUUAACAAUUCUGACAGUACUGAUGUCAAAUGAAAUUUUCUUUUUGAAAAAGAAUUCAGAAAAUUAUUUCUUGCUGUUUUGAACCAAGAAACUUAGGACUGCACAGUUACUGUGGUUUAAGAAGGUGGUGUCUGAAUUCUCAGUGACUACUCCAAUGAAAGGAGUAAGAUAGCUGGCAAUCCUGGCACACUGAUUUUUGCCUUUUUGAAACUGUAAGUAGUAGAGCUCUGCAUCAGUAAUGGUGUAGGAGAAGCUCGAACUGUGCUUUUAAAGUGCCUAUAAAUGCAGUCUUCAACUAAGGGUACAGUAGGUAGAUAGGUAUUUAAGAGUGAAGACAAGAAAAUCCUGAUGUAAAUUCAUCAGGCAUACCCCUCACCAAAAAAAACUCAGAAGGAAGUAGAAGGACGUCAAGGACACAAACUGCUUCUCAUGGCCUAUGCCACUGACAGGUCACUACAUUUCUGAGUGGAAAAUUUCUGUGCAUAUUAAUUAUCACGAAUCCUUCUAAUAGGCAUGAUUUUGUCUCAUGAAGAAGCCCAAACAAUGGCAAAUUAGAACCAGCUUUUGCAAAAUAUGUCUUGUAACUGAAUGGAAAUAAGAUGGGAAAAUUAUUUACAGGAAAAUAAAUGUUUAAAAAAUAUUUAGCGUAGAGACAAAGAGUGCAGGGACAAUGACAAACUUCAAGUGGCUUUAGUGUGUAGUUUCUAGGAUGUACUGUAAAAAAAUGCCCAAAUCAACAAUGAGAGGAAAAUCUCUGUAAGAACACAACAUAGUGAUGUCAAGCACAACCUGCUUGACUCUGCAGGUUCUUCCUGAUGUUUGCAGAGCUGGAGAAUAUCAUACCAUGAUGCCAAGUACCCUAGCGAACCAUGGUGCCAAGAGCCCUAGAGCACUGCAAAGGGCGAGAUGGGAAAUGAACAUUAUUGCAGGAGGCUGUACCAUGCUCUAUCUGCAGAGCUUACGAGACUCUAGCAUUGAAGAAGCACUAGACACUGUAAUAGGAGAGGCCAAAGUGCAAAAUUAUUUUUCAGGAUUUGGAUAUUAGAAUUUUCAAAAGCAUCCAAUCCAUUUCUGAUAAAUUCCCCACAAAGGAUGUCUCUUUGGAUCAACAGCUAGAGGGUGAAUGAACCUUUAAGAAGUUCCAGCUCUCCAGAUCAGAAAAAAACACAUCUGUCUGGUACUAGGAUUUGGAUGGAAAUGGGAGGCAGAGACUCUGUCUGGGUUAAGUUGUUGUUUAACAGUUUGGUUUAGCUGUUCUUAGAAAUAAAUCUCUGCCUUAUUUCUGAGAGUCUACUACAAAUAGUCACUUUAGGAACAGGAGACGAUUGGCAAAUUUUAGAAACUGAAAAUGCAGUCUUUACAACUGUGUAUUUAGUAUAGCCUUUCUGGUUAGACCUUGUAUUUUUUCCUUCCGUGGAUGAUACUGUCCCAUUUCUUUUCAGUCAUUAAAGUCUAGCCAACUAAUCAUGCACUGUGGGAAGGUCUGUCUUCAUAGUUUUCGGCAUAUGUGCAAAGACUUUCAACUCAGUUGACAAGCUGAAAUUAUAGCUGAAGUUUGUGGCACUGUGUGUAAGCAGGGGAUCUGCCUUUCCUGCUUCUUCUCCUUGCUUGUCCUUUUACCAAAAUGAUCUUCCUGGUGUAAUCUUGAUAGGGAGGGCAAUGGCUGUGAGGUCUUUUGUUGUGAUGAUUAUGGCAACAGAGACACAUUGGGAGGGCUGGACAA